rnacentral:rRNA from 1 species
AGAUUGAACGCUGGCGGCAUGCCUAACACAUGCAAGUCGAACGGGAGUAGCAAUACUCUAGUGGCGGACGGGUGAGGAAUACGUAGGAAUUUGCCCUUAAGUGGGGGAUAACCCGGGGAAACCCGGAUUAAUACCGCAUGACCUCGAAAGAGCAAAGUGGGGGAUCGCAAGACCUCACGCUUUGGAGAAGCCUACGUCGGAUUAGCUAGUUGGUGAGGUAAUGGCUCACCAAGGCGACGAUCCCGUAACUGGUCUGAGGAGGAUGAUCACGUCACAACCGGACUGAGACGACGGUCCGACUCCGUACGGGAGCAGGCAGGUAGGGGAAUAGUUGGACUAAAGUGGGACGACGAACGGCCUAGACUCC